rnacentral:rRNA from 1 species
CAGUAGCCGCGGUAAAACAGAGGGUGCGAGCGUUAAUCGGAUUUACUGGGCGUAAAGCGUGCGUAGGCGGCUUCUUAAGUCGGAUGUGAAAUCCCUGAGCUUAACUUAGGAAUUGCAUUCGAUACUGGGAAGCUAGAGUAUGGGAGAGGAUGGUAGAAUUCCAGGUGUAGCGGUGAAAUGCGUAGAGAUCUGGAGGAAUACCGAUGGCGAAGGCAGCCAUCUGGCCUAAUACUGACGCUGAGGUACGAAAGCAUGGGGAGCAAACAGGAUUAGAUACCCCUGUAGUCCCUGUCUCUUAUCC